UGGAGAAGUCAGUGAUGGUUUUAUUCAUGUUGUCUGAACCUGUCUGAAACAUCGGUGAUGCAAUCUCUGGGUGAUUCUGAGACUUCUCUA
rnacentral:snoRNA from 8 species